UCCAGACUCCUACGGGAGGCAGCAGUGGGGAAUAUUGGGCAAUGGGCGCAAGCCUGACCCAGCAACGCCGCGUGAAGGAAGAAGGCUUUCGGGUUGUAAACUUCUUUUAAGAGGGAAGAGUAGAAGACGGUACCUCUUGAAUAAGCCACGGCUAACUACGUGCCAGCAGCCGCGGUAAUACGUAGGUGGCAAGCGUUAUCCGGAUUUACUGGGUGUAAAGGGCGUGUAGGCGGGAAUGCAGGUCAGAUGUGAAAACUAUGGGCUCAACCUUGGAACUGCAUUUGAAACUGUUGGUCUUGAGUAUCGGAGAGGCAGGCGGAAUUCCUAGUGUAGCGGUGAAAUGCGUAGAUAUUAGGAGGAACACCAGUGGCGAAGGCGGCCUGCUGGACGACAACUGACGGUGAGGCGCGAAAGCGUGGGGAGCAAACAGGAUUAGAUACCCUUGUA
rnacentral:rRNA from 1 species